GUCAAUACCGAAAUAUCAAUUAUAAAAGAUUCUGAAAUGCCAAAUGUAAAACAAAUCAAACGAAAACAUAACGGCUUUAUUCAUGUACAAAAUAGAUGAUUACGUAACGUAAAAUAAUAAUGAUACACAGCAACAAACUACAAUCAUUGAUUUGCAGGGGACAGUCAAAUGGCAAAUGUAGAAUAUAUUGGGGUUAAACUUAUUGAAGGCGCC
rnacentral:lncRNA from 1 species